CCUACGGGGGGCAGCAGUGGGGAAUUUUGGACAAUGGGCGCAAGCCUGAUCCAGCAAUGCCGCGUGCAGGAUGAAGGCCUUCGGGUUGUAAACUGCUUUUGUACGGAGCGAAACGGUCUCUUUUAAUACAGGGGGCUAAUGACGGUACCGUAAGAAUAAGCACCGGCUAACUACGUGCCAGCAGCCGCGGUAAUACGUAGGGUGCGAGCGUUAAUCGGAAUUACUGGGGGCGAUGCGUGCGCAGGCGGUUGAAAUCCCCGGGCUUAACCUGGGACCUGCAUUUGUGACUGCAAGGCUGGAGUACGGUAGAGGGGGAUGGAAUUCCGCGUGUAGCAGUGAAAUGCGUAGAUAUGCGGAGGAACACCGAUGGCGAAGGCAAUCCCCUGGACCUGUACUGACGCUCAUGCACGAAAGCGUGGGGAGCAAACAGGAUUAGAUACCCGAGUAGUC
rnacentral:rRNA from 1 species